GACGAACGCUGGCGGCGUGCUUAACACAUGCCAGUCGAACGGAAAGGCCCUGCUUGCAGGGUACUCGAGUGGCGAACGGGUGAGUAACACGUGGGUGAUCUGCCCUGCACUUCGGGAUAAGACUGGGAAACUGGGUCUAAUACCGGAUAGGAGCCAUCCUUCGUGUGAUGGUUGGAAAGUUUUUUCGGUGUAGGAUGAGACCGCGGCCUAUCUGCUUGCUGGUGGGGUAAUGGGCUACCAAGGCGGCGACGGGUAGCCGGCCUGAGGGGGUGGACGGGCAAAAUUGGGACUGAGAUCGGCCCAGGAUCCUACGGGGGGGAAGAGUGGGGAAUAAUGCCCAAUGGGGGGGAGCCUGAUGCAACGACGCCGCGGGGGGGAUGACGGCCUUCGGGUUGUAAACUCCUUUCGCUAGGGACGAAGCUUUUUGUGACGGUACCUAGAUAAGAAGCACCGGCUAACUACGUG
rnacentral:rRNA from 1 species